rfam:Salinarchaeum sp. Harcht-Bsk1, complete genome.
GCCGCCAUAGCUCAGUUGGUAGAGCACCACGCUGUUAACGUGGUUGUCCCAGGUUCGAGCCCUGGUGGUGGCG